CCUACGGGUGGCAGCAGUGGGGAAUUUUCGGCAAUGGGCGCAAGCCUGACCCAGCAACGCCGCGUGAAGGAAGAAGGCUUUCGGGUUGUAAACUUCUGUUAUGAGGGACGAAACAAAUGACGGUACCUGACUAAGAAGCCCCGGCUAACUACGUGCCAGCAGCCGCGGUAAUACGUAGGGGGCAAGCGUUAUCCGGAUUUACUGGGUGUACAGGGUGCGUAGGCGGUUUGGCAAGUCAGAAGUGAAAGCCCGGGGCUCAACUCCGGGAUGGCUUUUGAAACUGUAGAACUAGAUUGCAGGAGAGGGCAGUGGAAUUCCUAGUGUAGCGGUAAAAUGCGUAGAUAUUAGGAAGAACACCAGUGGCGAAGGCGGCUGACUGGACUGUAAAUGACGCUGAGGCUCGAAAGCGUGGGGAGCAAACAGGAUUAGAUACCCCGGUAGUC
rnacentral:rRNA from 1 species